rnacentral:tRNA from 1 species
AAGUGCUUUGGCAGAUUAGUGCCUUUGAUUUAGGAUCAGUUCAUGGGUAAAUUCACUCAUUAUAU